GCUUACUGUGGGGUACUUGGGCAGGUCCGAGGAGCUUCCUGUGCUCUUCGGCGUACCCCCGGUUCACCCACCGGGCAGACGGCG
rnacentral:tRNA from 2 species